rnacentral:rRNA from 1 species
AACGAACGCUGGCGGCAUGCCUAACACAUGCAAGUCGAACGAGACCUUCGGGCCUAGUGGCGCACGGGUGCGUAACGCGUGGGAACCUGCCCUUAGGUUCGGAAUAACUCCCCGAAAGGGGUGCUAAUACCGGAUAAUGUCUUCGGACCAAAGAUUUAUCGCCUUUGGAUGGGCCCGCGUUGGAUUAGCUAGUUGGUAGGGUAAAAGCCUACCAAGGCGACGAUCCAUAGCUGGUCUGAGAGGAUGAUCAGCCACACUGGGACUGAGACACGGCCCAGACUCCUACGGGGGGCAGCGGUGGGGAGUAUUGGACAAUGGGCGAAAGCCUGAUCCAGCAAUGCCGCGUGAGUGAUGAAGGCCUUAGGGUUGUAAAGCUCUUUUACCCGGGAUGAUAAUGACAGUACCGGGAGAAUAAGCUCCGGCUAACUCCGUG